CUAGUGCCUCUGCAAGGAGUCGCGAUGCCGUUUCAGAAGUCAGCCGAGGCCAUAGUAGCGCUGUAUUGAGUGGCGUGAAGGGC
rnacentral:ncRNA from 1 species